rnacentral:rRNA from 1 species
UACGGGGGAGCAAGCGUUGUUCGGAUUUACUGGGCGUAAAGGGCGCGGUAGGCGGUCGUGACAAGUCACUUGUGAAUCUCCGGGCUUAAUUCGGAACGGUCAAGUGAUACUGUCGGACUAGAGUACAGAAGGGGCAACUGGAAUUCUCGGUGUAGCGGUGAAAUUCGUAGAUAUUCGCAAGAACACCAGUGGCGAAGGCGGCUCACUGGCCCGGUAUGACGCUGAGGCACGGAAAGCGUGGGGAGCAAACAGGG